rnacentral:tRNA from 1 species
UCCCUUAUAGCUCAGUUGGUAAAGAAUCUGCCUAAAAUGCAGGAGACCCAGGUUCAAUUCCUGGGUUGGGAA